UCAGUUGGUCGGGCAGUCGCUCCUUUUAGGAGAGGAAAGUCCGGACUCCAUGGAGACACGGUGCCGGAUAACGUCCGGCGAGGGCGACCUUAGGGAAAGUGCCACAGAAAGCAAACCGCCGCGUUUAGCGCGGUAAGGGUGAAAGGGUGCGGUAAGAGCGCACCGCGGAGCUGGCAACAGGUUCGGCAUGGUAAACCCCACCGGGAGCAAAACCAAAUAGGGAUGGCAUAGUACAAGCUUGCUUGUGCGGAUCGGUUUCCAGAUCAGUCAUCCGGGUUGGUUGCAUAAGCCCUCUGGCAACAGAUGGCUCAGAUGAAUGGCUGCCACGCAGAUUUUUCUGCCUUACAGAAUCCGGCUUAUAGACCAACUGACAAU
rnacentral:RNase_P_RNA from 1 species